AGUGACGCUGCCUGCUCACAGCCCUCUGAAGGACUUCCAUCCAAGGGCUUAUCUCCACUGCAGAAUGAGCUCAGGUUUCCAGCCAGGGGUGCCCCAGCCUCCCAGCCCUGCCCUUGCUGAGCAGUGCAAUGGAAAGUUGGCAUCGAGUGACCCACCAGGCGCUGCACAUUAGGGUUUAAAUGCUACUGGUGCUGCAACUGCUGGCAGGGCUGUAGGGAUAGGGACAUCCGUGCUGCCCCAUGUUUCCAGGCCCCCAGGUCCCUCCAUGGUGCUCUGUGAGCCACCUGGGUGCUGCCUCCACACAGCUGCAUUGCAGAAUUCCCUAAUUUCCUCUGUUUUGGAUACAAGCUGCUGGUAAGAUAGGUGAGAGGUCUGUUCAAUGCAGCUUGGAUAUGCAGCAACAACCUGGAUGCCUUAAUAUUUUUUGCUCCUAUUUUUUAAUGUCUUUUUUUUUUUUCCCUGAGAAUGUGUUGCUUCCAUCACCACUGGAGAUUCCCCCCCCCUCCCCUUUUUUUUUUUUUUUUCAUUCUGUCUUUUAAAUCUCUCUGUGUUUUGCAAUAGUACCACAUUUGUUUGCAUUGACCAGAGGAGAGCAGACCCUCACUUCCGACCAGCUUCUGACCCAGCUGCAGAUCAGGACUCACCUGUUUCUGGAAAUACAGCUCCAACUGAGCCUCUUCUGACUCUGUGGGAGGAAGUCCUUGAAGACAAGCUGAACCAACUUGGAAGAGAACUUACAGUGGGACCGUUGCUCAACGACUGUUGUUCUCCCCAUUACAUGGUCAUGACCCUUCUUCUGCUCCCUUCCCCUGCCUGUGUGGUGAAGCCCAAAGAGGUGACCCCGUGCACACAGCUCUGCCCAGGGCUCACAGCCCUGUUCUGCCACUGCUCCCUAAAUGUGUGCUUCUUCCACCCCGCUUCACAAACCAAACAGCAUUCUGUUUGUAAGGAGCGUCACGCACUGACACCUCCUACCGGAGUUCCAUGAUAUGAAGCCAUUUUCAAGGAAAGAAAAAAAAGAUUUCCUGCGUUUGCUUCUUUGUGUUUGCACUGCUUUUAUUAAAAUGGUCUGCCAUGAGCUGCAUCGUGGAUGUAAAAUGGUACAGCCUCAGACUGGACUGAACUGGAGGUUUUAUGGAAAAGCAUUUUGUGAGAAAACUGUUCCCAGCUAUGUAGCCUUAGAAACAAGGGAGGUAGAACUGGAGGUCUAUGAAUAUGGAGAGCCUGGAGAUGGGAGAAUCACAAGGGAGACGACUGUGCAGCCAGGAUGAAAGAUGAGAGCUUCAGCAGAGAAUGGAUGAAGUUAAGGGAGAAGGGAAGACGCCGUGUGACAGUGGGAGGAUUUGUUCCACCCAGCCCCAAAUAGGAGCACGAAACACAGGUUUGCUUGGAGUGGUGAAAAAUCCAUCAGAAAUGUUCAGAUAUGAUUGUGAGACUAUAGAAAGCUCCAGGACAUCCUGGAAUACUGCACCAUUUAUCCCAAUCGGAGGGUGAGUCAGCAUUCAAUUACGUGCAGUCAAUUCUACAUUCAGUUUUCGAUGCGUUGGCGACAAAGCAAUUUAGAUAAUACGGUCAUAUAGCAGAAUCACCUUCCUUACAAGUCUGAGUUACAUUAGCUGAAAUAAAAAGUGUGUCAGCGCCCAUUUUGCAGCGUAUCAGAUAAUCACCGCGUGGGAUGCAGAAGAAAUCUCUUCUUCCCAUUGCCCAUGUAAUUGUGCAACGGCUGCUUUCUCUCCUCUGAAGCCGUUGCUUAUGGCUGCUCCUGAGACUCGACAGCUGUGCUGCUGCGUGCAGACGCCGUCGGCAGCCCUGCACACCGAUCCCCGUGCUGCAUAAGAGCUCCUACUGGUUUUACUGGAGAGAAAACAUUGUGCUGUAAUGAAGCGGGUAUUCCACAUGAAGGUAUGUGAGGUUUGGUCCUUUGUCCAUCACAUGGUGAAGACCUGUGAUGAGUGAAAUAGAAGGUCUGUGUUCUCUCCCCGCCACGGCUUUAUUGGCAUGAAAAGCCACAAGCCCAAUGACCUGGGAGAUCUCUAGAUGUGGCUCUGGGUUCAAAUGACGAUUGCCAUUAGUUCAGGAAAGAUGUUACGCUAAUUUUAACUUUUUUUCUUCAUCCUUUAAAGCAGCUAUUAUAUUAUUUUGUAGCAAUUAUACUUUUGGGAAUCAAAGCUUGGAGAGGAAAUGAGCGAUUUGCUAUGCUUUAAACUGGUGAUAUAAACUGGCUGAUCGUUUCAGUAUUGCUGAGAAAUUCAGACUUCCAUGCACUACUCCUUACACGGACAGGAUAAUGGAACUGCAUUAAAAACCACUCCUCACAUCCCAGGAGCAACCACGUAGCUUGAACCUUAAUUCCAUCCCACCAUUCCUACUGCCAUAACUCCACAGACUUUAAAGCGUUGAAUAAGAGCCAGACAUAGAGCACAGGCAAGAGAAAUUUCCAUUGGAUUUUUUUCCAUGGACAAUGCCCUUAAAGACCCAAGGUCAGACACUGCUCCCCCAUAAGCUGGCAUCUCUUUGUCCAGCUAGACCUUUGUGUCUACUUCAGGCUCCUGGAAUUCCCUUGGGGGACCUCAGCAUUCUCUAAGUGUGAGUGCAUUUUAGCUGUCGUGGCCAAGUUUACCCACAAAUACUAUUUUUUCCCCUUCUGAUUUAUUGCACAGAAAGGCCAAUGCUGCACGGAGACGUACCUGAACUCAUGUUCAGUCUUGAAAGUCCUCUGCUUAGAAACUGUGUCACAGGUUCAGAGCCACUAGGUUCCUGCUCCCCUGAAAGGAAGCACUCUCCUUUGCUGCUAAUGUGAAGAGAGUUCCCAAUGAUCUUCCUCUUGUGAGAAGGAGUUUCAUACUGUACCCAUCACUAUGCUGAACUUCCUUUCCUUGGAAGCCACCAUCACUCAAAUUGUCAGGCUCUGGCAGCACACUAGGUUGCCUUGGCUCUUCUCAAAUGAAUGCUCUCAAACUCAGGACAUGUCACCUUUGGCUUCCCUACAUUUUUCAUCACUCAAGAUGCCUCCCUUGUCUUCUUGGAAGGCUGGAGAGCAGCGCAGGGCUGGGACAGCCAGAGGGUGUGAAUUCAGAGCAGCGGUUCAGGCAUCAAGGGAAGCCUGCGCUGGCUGGAUCGCUGCCCCAGUAGGGGUGAGUGUCCACUUACUUCCAAGAGAGUCCCCAGGCAUUUUCGGGCUCCUUUUUUACCCGAACUGAAGAUAAUCAGAAUGACAGAAAAUCAGGAGAAGAACUUCUGUGUUUGUCAGGCAUUUUUAUAAGCAAAUGCCCCUCCAUUGCUCCUUUGUUAGUUUAAACAGACUGAAUGAAAGCACUUUUCCUUCCCGGUCAGUUUUUAAUGUUUAGCAUCUCCUUUUCACGUUUAGUAUCUCUCAGUUAAAAGGACUGACCAGCUUGCCUGAAUUCCACCUCAGAGGAAACAGAUUUAGCAGUUUUCCUGGAAAAUACCAAGUAAGCAAAACUCUUCAGCAAGUUCUUAAUGAAACCUACUUUUAGAAGUAAUUUUUUAGUCUGCCUUCAUCUAUCAUAAAUUAAAAGGGCAGAAAAUCAGCCUUUCAUCUUCAGUGUUUAUUUCUGAUCCCCAUAAAACAAUGAAGGUUAGCAGUCCCCACAGCUUAACAAGCAGCUUUCUGUCUCUUUAAGGCUGUUUAUGAAUCACUGUAACAAGAAUAACGAGUAAUUUGAAGCUGAUUGACGAAGCUAUGUGGCUAUCAGCUAGGACAAUCCUCGCCUCAGAGCUCUGCCUGUCAGCAGACCCUGCAGAACUGGCUGGCGUUAGACUGGCUGCAUCCAGAGCAAAAGUUAACUCGAGAAAAAAAUUAUAUUGGAUUUUAAUAAAACUUUCCUCCGAGGUCAACCUCUCUAAGGUAUAAAAUCAAUUUCUCUUCCCUUCUUCUACUUUACUCUGUUUUCUCAUAGCUACAGAAAAUCCUCAUCCUCACGGAACAUUUCCCAUUGCCUUUUUUCCACCUCGCCCUUAUCACAGUAGCUGCCUGUGAGCACUCAUUGGCUCGGCCAUUUUAUUUGGACUCACUACCCCCAUUUCACACUCUGUGCCUGGCUUUCUCAGGAUCGGUUCCCCUUUCUCACACCAUCAAUUAUCAGGCUGUUCUUCUGCAACAGAUCCUGCCUCAUAGCAGCUUUAGGACACAAAACCUUUUCACUUCAUCCCUCAAGGUGGCUGAAACAGCAGAGCUUUGGUGCAAAGUCUUAAUUGAAGCAUGCCAGGUUUCUCCUAGCUUUGAUUUUUUUUCUUAUUGAGCAGAUGCCUUCUGUGUCAUGCCUGGGACUCCAGUAACUUCAGCCAAGUAAAGCAGAGCAUCAGUGCGCUUAGGAGCGAAUGCUGUGAGCCCUAUGCUCCUGCGGGUCAGUCCCCUUUGAUUUUAUUUGCCCAGCAAGAUAAUGUUUAUUCUUUCUCAUUUUCUUUUUUCUUUCUCUCUUCCUCCUUUCCUCCCUUUCUUCCUUUUCUUCUUUCCUUCUCUCUCUUUUUUUUUUUUUUUUUU